UUGUAUUUCGUCUUGUAACACGUAGAAAAAAUGUCUGAUAUUUACUCUCUCCUAAUUCAGUUUUUCCUUAUGUUUCUUAUGGUCAUUUCACAGAUGCAAUUCAAAAGAGAAAUACAUGUUGUGCCUGUGCUCAUUUUAGAAUCAUUAAAUUGUAUUUGCGCGUGUUCUGAACCACUACAGUUGUAGCUCAUUGGUUUCUGCAUCAUCGCCACUUCCUCUUGUCGACCAGUUACGUGAGCCAACAGUUUGCCUGAGGGCGGCGCAACGGUAGGUCUGGAGAAGAUUCUGCAGGGAGAGAGAAAGACACCGGUGCAGGCUGGCGAAGGAUCCCGCAGUCCUGGAGGUUCGCGAGGAGGAAUAACCGUCAGAAUGCAAGGAGCUGCUCUUUUGAACGUCACUCUUCCUACCGUCACUUCAGCGGUGGAAGGACGUGCUCAGAACUUCUGGUCCUUACCUUUCCCUGCUUUCCUUACGUCCUCCACUCAGUACCAUCACCAUCCCCAUCCUCCUCACUGGUCUCCACAUCACACCCAUUUCCCUUAUCACCCUCACCAUCCCUCCUUUCCCCUCCCCGUUCCUCUCCCCGUCCCUCCACCACGUAGCUUCCUCGCCUCACUGACCAGAAGAGAGUAUGAAGAAGGGCAAACCUACACCACCACCACCACCAGCGCACCAGCCACGCAGCCUCCCCUGGUGUACAUUCCUGAUGGCAGCCAGGGGGAGUGUGAGGACUUCGCGCCACAGGGUUUCAACACCUUCAGUUUUAUCGGGUUCCUCCUCGGCGUAGUGAACAUUGUAACCCUGGUGUCCAACAACGUCAACAACAACCUCAACAACAACAACAAUAACAACAACAACAACAACAACAACCUGGACAACAUCAACAUGGCUGACAGCAACAGCAACAUCAACAACGACAAUACUGUAGACAUUCCCGCAGCCAGAGAAGGAAGAUCAAGGAACAAGAGAGAAGAAGAAAAGAGUACUCGUACUUGGACAAAAGAAAGAAACAGCCAAUUAUUGAAUACUCAUAAGACGAAAGAGGAAAAGGAGGAGGAGAAGACAAAGGAAGAAGAAGGAAAAGGCAGAGAAGAGGAGGAGGCUGCGAUGGUGGCUCUAAUCU